ACAGCCAUACCACCCUGAAUCUCAUCUGAAACAUACCCAAUCUCAUCUGAUUGCAGAAGCUGAGCAGGGUUGGGCCUGGUUAGUACUUGGAUGGGAGACCGUAUUAUUGGUAUGUC
rnacentral:rRNA from 1 species